UUUUGGGAUAAAAGCUUAGUUAAGCUGAGUUGUGAUUGAAUUUAAACAUGGACAAUUACUAGAUACGGACAAUUACUAGAUAAUGUUGUGUGUAUAGUUCUUGCUACUUUGCCAUUGUUAUCAGUAUUUUUAGGAUUCUCAUCAUGCAAUAAUAUUGUACAUUUCAUACAUUGAUGUAUCGUAUUACAAAUUAUUAUGGCAAAAGAAUGUGAAGAAGUUUUAUAUUACCUCUGUUGACAAAUAAGGGUUAAAAAAAAAAUAUUUAACAGGUUCAGUGUCUUUCUUGAUGGG
rnacentral:misc_RNA from 1 species